rnacentral:piRNA from 1 species
UGUAGCCUUUCUACCCGGAUGACUGAGGUU